UUACAUCUCUUCGGAGCAUUUUACGUAGGUGCUGCAUGGUUGUCGUCAGCUCGUGCCGUGAGGUGUCGGGUUAAGUCCCAUAACGAGCGCAACCCCUACCUUUAGUUGCCAUCAGGUUAAGCUGGGGGACUCUAAAGGAACUGCCUACGCAAGUAGUGAGGAAGGCGGGGAUGACGUCAAAUCAGCACGGCCCUUACGUCCAGGGCUACACACGUGCUACAAUGGCCGAUACAGAGGGCAGCUACCUGGUGACAGGAUGCAAAUCUCCAAAGUCGGUCUCAGUUCGGAUCGGAGUCUGCAACCCGACUCCGUGAAGUUGGAUUCGCUAGUAAUCGCGCAUCAGCCAUGGCGCGGUGAAUACGUUCCCGGGCCUU
rnacentral:rRNA from 1 species